AUAUAAAUAACCAUCUAUCCUGUAUAUUAUAAUAAGUAAAACAGAUGAUCUUUUUUCUAGUGAAUAGUCCAUACAACGUCACAUCACAGAUCACGAUGCUCCUCAUGCUGAUGUUUGAUGUGAACAUUAACUGAAGCUCUGAACCUGUCUCUGCAUGAUCUUAUACACUGUGCUGCUGCUACAUGACUGAUUAGAUCAGUGUUUACCAACCUAAUUUCAGUCUUUUUACUGCAUUCCUACUAGCACAGUUCCAUCACACGGAGCCAGCUUCACUCCAUAAAUACUGAUGUGGGCUAUAAGCUAGUGGUUAGGAGCUGAACUGAGGAAGGUGUUUCUCCAGCAGGUUCCUGUUGGUGUUGGUGUUAAUGCUGUGUUCUGGAGAAGGAGAGGAACACAGUGACAGCACCAGGAGAGAAAGAUAAAGCAGCUGAAACUUCAGGAUGUUCACAGGACAGAAGGGCAGUAAAAGCACUGCUAGGGUUUACUUCUCACUUAUGGAGGCUUUCAGACUUUUAGGAUGUUGCUGAACGGACGUCCAUCCUGGUUAACUAGCUCGUUUGCGUUAUGCAGUGACGUCACACCCCUCAAACCCCGCCCAUAAACUGCCUGAAAAAACUCCGCCCACCAGCUUGAGACUUAAGCAAAAUCCGACAAAAUCACACAGGCGAGAGCGAGGAUUCUAGAUAGUGACAGCAGUGAAAGUUCAGGCGAUGUUGAAACCGAAACUGACAGAGACGCAAACUCUCCUGAUUCAGACCCUGAUCCGUCUUCAUCUUCAGCAUCAACCAGUGCGACUGACACUGCAGGGGUCUGGAGUCAGAACCUGACCAUCUCUGUGCAUUCGUGAAAACACCACCUGCUGCUCUGAUUAUCACCAGAAACUUGACUUUUGCGCUAAAAUGCAUUUAUUUAUUUGUUUAUUAUUAUUUACUUGAAUUUAUUCAAAGGCACUGACCACGCUGAUGCUUGUAUGGUACUUCUAAAGGAGUAGAAGGAUUUCAGCGAGCAUUUUUCAUCAUUUCUCUAGUUAAGAAUUGUGCUCCAAGUGGAGUAUAAACACUGAACUGCUUCAUUUUAAAAGUAAUAUUACACAAAUACUUUAUUAUAAGUUGUUUCAAGGCCUAAAAAUGUUCAAAUUAAAAUGUUGAUUUUGGGGGCAAUUUUGGCCUGGGAACUCAGGGUUGGCGUGCUGUUUCUAUGGGAAUAUAGGGUUGUGGGACAUAAUACUCACACACACACACACACACACACACACACACACACAGUAUUUCAGUAUAGACGAGUGUAGUGUAUCAGGGAGGAGUUUAUAUUCAAUAAGUGAUAGUUUGUGUGUUUAUUAAAUGAAACAAUAAUCUACAGGUGAGUAAAUAAUCUACUGCAGUGUUAAUAUCACCUGUGUAACAUCUGGAGGAAGUAGAUUCACUACUCACCGGAAAUAAUAAUAAUAAUAAUAAUAAUAAUGAUAAUAAUAAUAAUAACAGAUCUCCAGCAGUGGUCACACACAGCAGCUCCGUUAGUUCCGUUAGCUCGAAACUUAGAGAACACAAACACCGGCUCUAAUCUCUAAUAACUCUACAAUAACUGUGAUGUCGAUAAUAAAAUACUUUGUUAAGAAAAACAAAAUACAUCAACUUUCCAAUCGCAGAGUUAAAAUCACUAAAAAUGAAUUAAAAACCAGAUUUAAACGUCGUUAGCGAGGAAGAGGGACAACAGCAACAACAGCAGCAGCAGCCUGUUAUCGCGAGACUCCAACAUGUCCGUGUCCCGUCACUCCCCUUUACGCAGUACGAUGGGCGUUCCUUGCGUCAUGACGUCGCGGAUCUUCACUCUUAAAACUAAUCCUGACAUCUUUAAUCAGCACAGCAAAGUGUGUUUAAGUGGAAUAUUCUACUGAUUUAAUAACUCUGGAUAUAAAUGUGUUUUAUUAAAUAGCUGAGAAU
ensembl:lncRNA